AGUGGGAGGUGCUGAGCCGCCUGAUUUAUUCCGGUCCCAGAGGAGAAGGCGCCAGAACCCCGCGGGGUCUGAGCAGCCCAGCGUGCCCAUUCCAGCGCCCGCGUCCCCGCAGCAUGCCGCGCCCCCGCCUGCUGGCCGCGCUGUGCGGCGCGCUGCUCUGCGCCCCCAGCCUCCUCGUCGCCCUGGGCACUGAGGGAUCUGAGUAGGUCUGGGAUGGACAGGAAAGGGCAAAGUAGGGCGUGUGGUUUCCCUGCCCCUGUCCGGACCGCCGAUCCCAGGUGCGUGUGUCUCUGUCUCUCCUAGCCCCUCUCUCACACAUCACAUUCCCAUGGUGGCCUCAAGAAAGGCCCGGAAGCGCCAGGCUGGAGAUAACAGCCUCUUGCCCGUCGGCCCUGCGUCGGCCCUGGGGUACCAUGUGGCCACAACUGCUGUGGCCCCCUGUCCCCAAGACACUUCCCCUUGUCUCCCUGGUUGCCUCUCUUGCCCCUUGUCCUGAAGCCCAGCGACACAGAAGGGGGUGGGGCGGGUCUAUGGGGAGAAAGGGAGCGAGGUCAGAGGAGGGCAUGGGUUGGCAGGGUGGGCGUUUGGGGCCCUCUAUGCUGGCUUUUCACCCCAGAGGACACAGGCAG
rnacentral:lncRNA from 1 species